rnacentral:rRNA from 1 species
AUGUUCUUCUUACUCGUCCUUGCGUCCUGCUUUCUGCUCAUCCUCUUCUCCUCCUACGUGUUGGGAAUGCUCGCCGACGCCCGCCGCCGUCUUCCACCUGGCCCGAUGCCGCUCCCUGUCAUCGGGAAUCUCCUCCACGUUGCGAGCUGGCUCCCGCACCGCUCCCUGGCACGCCUCGCCGAGCGUUACGGCCCGCUGAUGACUGUCCGGCUAGGGACGGCCGUCGUGAUCGUGGCCUCAUCCCCAAGCGCCGCCCGUGAGGUUCUCAGGACGCACAAUGCGAGCAUCACCGGCCGCAAUGCUCCUGACGCGUGGAACGGGAUGGGCCACGCCGCAAACUCGGUGUUCAUCCUGCCACCGGGCCACAGGUGGCGCGCGCUGCGCAGGAUAGGCACCGAGCACUUGCUGUCGCCGAGGCAGCUGGAUGGCCUACGGCCCGUGAUGCGGGGCGCCGUUGACCGCAUGCUCUGCCAUGUCUCGGAGAUGGCGGCGGCCGUGUCCGCCGGAGCGCCGGUUGAGGUCGGCCGAGCGGUAUUCGCCGCAAUGGCGGACCUCCAGUGGCGCGCCAUGUUCUCCUCCGGCCUUGACGCAGCCACCACGCGCGAGCUGCACGCCGUCGCGCGGGAAGCUGCCCUCCUGGCCCUGAAGCCCAAUGUGUCGGACUUCUUCCCGGCGCUCGCCGCACUGGACCUUCAGGGCAUCCGGCGCAGCAUGACGAGGCAGCUGGGAAAGGUUUACAGGCUGAUCGACCAAGAGAUCGACCAGCGGAGGCGAGGCCGGGAAGCGGGCAGCGUCGACGGGCGCGAGAAGGACGACCUGCUGGACGUGAUGCUGCAAAUGUGCGAGGUGGACGGGGCGGCGGUGAUGAACCAAGACUCUAUGAGAGCAUUUCUUACGGAUCUAUUUCUUGCGGCCAUCGAUACCGUCUCGGGCGCGAUCGAGUGGGCAAUGGCAGAGUUAUUACAAAAUCCAGAAACCAUGAAGAAGCUAAAAGAGGAACUUAGUAGAGUUCUUGGCUCGAAGGAACAUGUUGAAUACUCCGAUAACCUUCCUUACCUGCAAGCAGUCGUUAAGGAAACUCUCCGUCUGCACGCAGUUGUGCCGUUGGCACCUAACAAGGUUGAGCAGACAGUAGAGAUACAGGGGUACACCAUCCCCAAGGGAAGCACCGUGAUUGUGAAUCUGUGGGCCAUCCAUCACAAUGCUCAAGUAUGGACAGAGCCAGACAAGUUCAUCCCUGAGAGGUUCCUGUGUAAGGAGGUAAAUUUCCAAGGUAUGGACUUUGAAUUCAUGCCCUUCAGUGCUGGAAGGCGCAUCUGCCUAGGGUUGCCGCUCGCUACUAGGAUGCUUCCUGCCUUGCUAGGCUCGUUGUUGCACCGUUUUGAGUGGACAUUGCCCGAAGAGGCCAUGAAAAUUGGUGUUGAUAUGUCUGAGAAGCUUGGGUUAACAAUGUCUAUGGCGACUCCUCUCCAAGCUAUAGUAGUGAAGACAUUAUAA